rnacentral:rRNA from 1 species
CGGGGUGCAGCAGGCGCGAAAACUUUACAAUGCUGGCAACAGCGAUAAGGGGACCUCGAGUGCCAGGAUACAAUCUUGGCUGUCGUGAUGCCUAAAAGGCAUUACAUAGCAAGGGCCGGGCAAGACCGGUGCCAGCCGCCGCGGUAACACCGGCGGCUCGAGUGGUAACCGCUAUUAUUGGGUCUAAAGGGUCUGUAGCCGGCCGGAUAAGUCUCUUGGGAAAUCCGACAGCUCAACUGUCGGGCUUUCAGGGGAUACUGUUCGGCUCGAGGCCGGGAGAGGUGAGAGGUACUUCAGGGGUAGGGGUGAAAUCUUGAGAUCCUUGAAGGACCACCAGUGGCGAAGGCGUCUCACCAGAACGGUCCUGACGGCAAGGGACGAAAGCUAGGGGCACGAACCGGAUUAGAUACCCGGGUAGUCCUAGCCGUAAACGAUACUCGCUAGGUGUCGGCCACGGUGCGACCGUGGUCGGUGCCGUAGGGAAGCCGUGAAGCGAGCCACCUGGGAAGUACGGCCGCAAGGCUGAAACUUAAAGGAAUUGGCGGGGGAGCACAAGGGCGAUUCGCGG